AGUGAACGCUGGCGGCAGGCAUAACACAUGCAAGUCGAGCGGAGCGGCGGACGGGUGAGUAAUGCCUAGGAAUCUGCCUGGUAGUUGGGGAUAACGUCCGGAAACGGGCGCUAAUACCGCAUACUAUCAGAUCAGCCUAGGUCGGAUUAGCUAGUGGGUGGGGUAAAGGCCUACCAAGGCGACGAUCCGUAACUGGUCUGAGAGGGUGUUCAGGCACACUGGGACUGGGCCCAGGUCGCGAGUCCUCCGUGAGGCAGCAGUGGGGAAUAUUGGACAAUGGGCGAAAGCAUGAUCCAGCCAUGCCGCGUGUGUGAAGAAGGUCUUCGGAUUGUAAGGCGCUUUAAGUUGGGAGGCGUUACCAACAGAAUAAGCACCGGCUAACUUCGUGCCAGCCGCCGCGGUAAUAC
rnacentral:rRNA from 1 species